rnacentral:rRNA from 1 species
GUGUCAGCAGCCGCGGUAAUACGUAGGGUGCAAGCGUUAAUCGGAAUUACUGGGCGUAAAGCGUGCGCAGGCGGUUGUGUAAGACAGGUGUGAAAUCCCCGGGCUUAACCUGGGAAUUGCAUUUGUGACUGCACGACUAGAGUGUGUCAGAGGGGGGUGGAAUUCCACGUGUAGCAGUGAAAUGCGUAGAUAUGUGGAGGAACACCAAUGGCGAAGGCAGCCCCCUGGGAUAACACUGACGCUCAUGCACGAAAGCGUGGGGAGCAAACAGGAUUAGAUACCCUGGUAGUCCACGCCCUAAACGAUGUCAACUAGUUGUUGGGGAUUUACUUCCUUGGUAACGUAGCUAACGCGUGAAGUUGACCGCCUGGGGAGUACGGCCGCAAGGUUAAA